UACGGAGGAUCCGAGCGUUAUCCGGAUUUAUUGGGUUUAAAGGGUGCGCAGGCGGGAGAUUAAGUCGGCGGUGAAAUUUUGCAGCUCAACUGUAAAAGUGCCUUCGAAACUGGUUUCCUUGAGUGUAGAUGAAGUAGGCGGAAUUUGUGGUGUAGCGGUGAAAUGCAUAGAUAUCACGAGGAACUCCGAUUGCGAAGGCAGCUUACUAAUCCAUCAUUGACGCUGAGGCACGAAAGCGUGGGGAGGCAAACAGGAUUAGAUACCCU
rnacentral:rRNA from 1 species